rnacentral:tRNA from 1 species
UCCUACGUGGUCUAGUGUCUAGUAUACCUGGCUCUCACCCAGGAGGCACGGGUUCGAUUCCCGACAUGGGAA